rnacentral:rRNA from 1 species
GACGAACGCUGGCGGCGUGCUUAACACAUGCAAGUCGUACGGUAAGGCCCUUUCGGGGGUACACGAGUGGCGAACGGGUGAGUAACACGUGAGUAACCUGCCCACAACUUUGGGAUAACGCUAGGAAACUGGUGCUAAUACUGGAUAUGUGCUCCUGCUGCAUGGAGGGGGUUGGAAAGCUCCGGCGGUUGUGGAUGGACUCGCGGCCUAUCAGCUUGUUGGUGGGGUAGUGGCCUACCAAGGCGGCGGCGGGUAGCCGGCCUGAGAGGGUGACCGGCCACAUUGGGACUGGGAUACGGCCCAGACUCCUACGGGGGGCAGCAGUGGGGAAUAUUGCACAAUGGGCGCAAGCCUGAUUCAACAACGCCGCGUGCGGGAUGACGGCCUUCGGGUUGGAAACCGCUUUCAGCAGGGACGAAGCUUUUUGUGACGGUACCUGCAGAAGAAGCACCGGCUAACUACGUG